rnacentral:tRNA from 1 species
CUAAUAAUAGUUAAUUAAUAACAUGGGCUUUGGGUGCCUAAAUUCAGACAAUGUUUGUUAUUAGA